rnacentral:misc_RNA from 1 species
UCAAAAAUAGCAGAAAAAUGGAACAAAGCUUCUCGAAAUCGGGUAACAAAGAAAGGAGCAUUAUAUGCUCCAUUGACAACGCCACUGAUGAAUAAGUUAGGACUAAUUUUGUGUAUCAAUCUAAGAACAGUAUUUCUAGCACUCUCUGUGGCAACACUCUCAUCAAGCAAAUUUUUUGCUCGAUACAAACAGUUAACGACUAGGAACUCAUCUUGAUCGAUAUUGAGAUCUUCG